UGUACGUACUCCCACAUGCUGUAUGAUGUAUAUAAAUUAAUUAUCCAUGUAAAAAUAAAAAAAUUGGUGUACAUAUAUAUACUAUCUUCUAAGUGUCUGUUUAGAUUUGAGAUGAAAAAUUUUUGGUGUCAUAUCGGAUAUGUCCGGAUAUGUUGGAAGGAUGUCGGGAGGGAUUUUUUGAAACUAAUAAAAAAACAAAUUACAUAGCUCGUUAGGAAACUGUAAGACAAAUUUAGUCAUUAGCACAUGUGGGUUACUGUAGCACUUAAGGCUAAUCAUGGAUUAAUUAGGCUUAAAAGAUUCGUCUCUCGAUUUUCAACCAAACUUUGUAAUUAGUUUAUUUUUUUAUCUACAUUUAAUGUUCCAUGCAUGUGUCUAAAGAUUCGAUGGGAUGGAUGAAAAUUUUUUGAUUGGGGAACUAAACAGGGCCUAACUAUACGUGUUGGAAAGUUGUGUACCACUAAAGAUCUUGAUCUUAACUUCUCUAUUGUAUGUACACAUACACAUGCUCUCUGUCUAGAAGUAUGUAUAAAUACUCCCUAAUUAAGAUGUAUGUAUACAUACUCAUUUUCUAUAGAUUGAAUCUACAUAUACUCCCUAAUUGAGAUGUAUGUAUUGAUACUCUUGCUUAUGUUUUAUAUUUCAUUAAAAAAUGUAUAUAUAUUCUGGCACGCAC
rnacentral:lncRNA from 1 species